rnacentral:piRNA from 1 species
GUGAAAUAUAAGCCUACUCCUAA